rnacentral:lncRNA from 1 species
AAACACACAAUUACUUGGCUGUUUUUGGGUAAAAUUCCAGAAUGUUAAUGUCAAACCAAUGUUCUCCUUCAAUCCUCCAACAACUAUCAAGACAUGUAUCAAAGUUUCAAGACUUCAAGAUUAGUUUCAAGGAACUCAAGAAACCCUAGAUUAUUGUAGUCCCCCUUCAAGAUUCCAACCCCUAACAAGUUUAACCACAAAAAUCAGUUUAGGAAAUUAAUGAAAACAACUUGGUGGAAUAAACUAAAGUUUGGACAGAUUCGGUAAGAAACUUGUGCCCAAGGAAAC